UAGGGAAUCUUCGGCAAUGGACGAAAGUCUGACCGAGCAACGCCGCGUGAGUGAAGAAGGUUUUCGGAUCGUAAAACUCUGUUGGUAGAGAAGAACGUUGGUGAGAGUGGAAAGCUCAUCAAGUGACGGUAACUACCCAGAAAGGGACGGCUAACUACGUGCCAGCAGCCGCGGUAAUACGUAGGUCCCGAGCGUUGUCCGGAUUUAUUGGGCGUAAAGCGAGCGCAGGUGGUUUAUUAAGUCUGGUGUAAAAGGCAGUGGCUCAACCAUUGUAUGCAUU
rnacentral:rRNA from 1 species